rnacentral:rRNA from 1 species
ACAAGUUGACAAGAGCAUCGGGUGGAUGCCUUGGCGUCGGAAGGCGAUGAAAGACGUGGUAAGCUGCGAAAAGCCUCGGGGAGAAGCUAAACAUUCUAUGAUCCGGGGAUUUCUGAAUGGGGAAACCCGGCGGAGGUCAUGCUCCGUCGCGGGCACUUGAAUACAUAAAGUGUCCAGCGCCAACUCAGGGAAGUGAAACAUCUCAGUACCUGAAGGAAAAGAAAUCAAACGAGACUCCCAAAGUAGCGGCGAGCGAAAUGGGAUGAGCCCAAACCGGCUGGAUUCGUUCAGCCGGGGUUGUAGGGCCGGCAUAUGUGAUUCAUGAGUAGGCAGGGGAAAUGAGCUGGAAAGCUCUGCCAGAGCGGGUGACAGCCCCGUACCUGAAACCGAAAGCGACACAGCCGGUACCUGAGUACCGCGAGACACGUGGAACCUCGUGGGAAUCCGGGAGGACCAUCUUCCAAGGCUAAGUACUAACCGACGACCGAUAGUGUACCAGUACCGUGAGGGAAAGGUGAAAAGAACCUCUGUUAGAGGAGUGAAAUAGAAUCUGAAACCUGGUGCUUACAAGCUGUGAGAGCGGACUUGUUCCGUGAUCACGUGCCUUUUGCAUAAUGAGUCAGCGAGUUAAUCUGUACUGCAAGGUUAAGCGCAAGUGGAGCCGUAGGGAAACCGAGUCUGACAAGGGCGAUGAGUAGUGCGGAUUAGACCCGAAACCGGGUGAUCUAUCCAUGAGCAGGUUGAAGCAAGGGUAAAACCUUGUGGAGGACCGAACCAAUACCGGCUGAAAACGGUUUGGAUGACUUGUGGAUAGGGGUGAAAGGCCAAUCAAACCCGGUGAUAGCUGGUUCUCCCCGAAAUAUAUUGAGGUAUAGCCUCAUGGAUUGUCUACCGGAGGUAAAGCACUGACAGGGCUAGGGGUCCUACCAGAUUACCAAACCCUAUCAAACUCAGAAUGCCGGUCAGAUGUACCAUGGGAGUCAGACGGCGGGUGCUAAGGUCCGUCGUCGAGAGGGUAAGAGCCCAGAUCAACAGCUAAGGUCUCCAAAUCUAUGCUCAGUGGUUAAGGUGGUGACGUUGUAGAGACACCCAGGACGUUGGCUUAGAAGCAGCCAUCGUUUAAAGAAAGCGUAAUAGCUCACUGGUCUAAUGACGUUGCGCCGAAAAUGUAACGGGGCUAAGCAUAGUACCGAAGCUUUGAAUUCCGCAUAUGCGGUCUGGUAGGGGAGCGUUCUUCACGGGCUGAAGGUGUGUCGUAAGGCAUGCUGGACUGUGGAGAAGUGAUUAUGCUGACAUGAGUAACGAUAAAACGGGUGAAAAACCCGUUCGCCGUAAACCCAAGGUUUUCCGGGUAAAGGUAAUCUUCCCGGAGUUAGUCGGCCCCUAAGGCGAGGCUGAAAGGCGUAGCUGAUGGGAAACGUGUUAAUAUUCACGUACUUGUGUGUUCGCGCGAUGAAGGGACGCAGGAAGAUAGGCAAGCCGGGCGCUGGUUGUCCCGGUGCAAGCGUGUAGGGAUGAAGAGUUGGCAAAUCCGCUCUUCUCUAUCCUGAGACGCGAGUCCGUGACCGAAAGGUCUGAAGUUGUUGAGUCUAUGCUGCCUAGAAAAGCUUCUAAGUAUAGGACACGCAAACCGUACCGGAAACCAACUCAGGUGGGUGGGAUGAAUAAUCCAAGGCGCUCGAGAGAACUCUGGCCAAGGAACUCGGCAAAAUAACCCCGUACCUUCGGAAGAAGGGGUGCUUUUUAGGGUGAAGCGAUUCACUCUGUCGAGCCCUGAAAAGCCGCAGAGAAAUGGUGGUGGCGACUGUUUACUAAAAACAUAGGUCUGUGCCAAGUCGUAUAGACGACGUAUACGGACUGACGCCUGCCCGGUGCUGGAAGGUUAAAAGGAGGAGUCAGCGCAAGCGAAGCUCCGAAUUGAAGCCCCAGUAAACGGCGGCCGUAACUAUAACGGUCCUAAGGUAGCGAAAUUCCUUGUCGGGUA